CAAAAACCAAGAUCUGUCGGACUUCUCCUCCAACCUCGGUCCUUCUUCUGCUCUCUCUCCGCUCCGAGGACACCCAAGCUCCUCCGCCCCGCCAAGGCUCCGCCCGGGCCACCCUUCGCCAGCCUGUUCAAGCUCGCCGGUCUGCUCCAUCAAGCGCGCUUUUCCUCACUUGCUGCGGCCAUUAUUUCUGCUCUUACUAUUGUAAAGUUAGACAUUUUUACUUCCUUCCCCUGCUAGCUAUUAGACUACUUAAUACUUCAGGUCAUUACAGCUUUCUCUUUACUCACAAUAACAAUAGCCAUAACAAUAAUUUAAAUUUAAAACCAGAUCAAUUUGGUUUCACGUCAGAUCCACAAUCGACACAGUUAAAUUUGGUCAAGAAAUAAUUGAACUUUAUGUUAAUAGUUCGUCGACGAGCCGGCCCUCCGACGGCCUGAAGCGAACCCCGUACACCUCAGCCCUCUCUUAUUGGUUCACCCUGCAUUCUACAAGCCAUCACCCCUGCAACACCCUGUCAUCCGCCCUAUCACCCUGCACUCUACGCCCUUUGCUAGCUCGAAGCUUGUCGGACCCGUCACCUCUCGGUCGCUGGUUCAUGUGCAUGCUUCAUUGUCUCUCGGUCAUUGCUGCCGCAGCCGUCGCCAUACCCACCCUGAUUUUUUGACAAGGAUGGCGUUGUUUUGGCAGAUAUCCAUCUCUUCGUGUCGCUUAUGUUGAUGAGGUAGAAGAGACUAGCAAAGAUAGGUCAAAAAAGAUCAAGAAAGUUUAUUACUCUGCACUGGUAAAGGCGGCGACUUCGACUAAAACUGAUGAAUCUUCAAAGACAAUACAAAACCUUGACCAGGUAGUGCAUGAUGAUUCUUGGGACAAGAAAGACAAUGAACUGCAAGCUCCCCUUUUUGUUUCUAAGCUGACCUUUUUUUCUGAAAAAUAUGAUGAUAGUACUUCAUUUUACCACUUUGUUCUUUUGGUGAAUGUUGACUAUAUGUGUAAUAGGGUGAUGGAAACUAUGUACAAGAUGAAUGGUUAGGAAAAAAAUAUGAAAAUUGUGGAUGCUAAUUUCUUUUAUUGUUAA